rnacentral:lncRNA from 1 species
AUGCCCCCACUCUCCUUGCAACCAAGGAGCCCACACCCCUUCCCCCAGUGUCUCUUCCAUCAGUCCAAGGCUGAGGCAACCCAGUUGCUUCCGAAGCAAGAUGACCAAGUUUGGAAGAGACGGCUGAAGCAUCUGUCCCUGGCAGAAGCUCUGUCUUGCGCUCAGACACUCUACCCAGACUUUGUUCCUGGCGGCACCAGAGAACUUCCCCAGCCCAGGGAGGAAUCUCUGAGGAUCACAGGUGUCAACAGGAUGGAAAUAAAACCAGAGACCAUGCUGAGAUUCUUCCGUGGAGAUCCAAAAAGGAGCAUUCUGCUUCCCAGCACUUCUUGCCAAGGAUGA